GACGAACGCUGGCGGCGGGCUUAACACAUGCAAGUCGAACGGAAAGGCCCUGCUUGUGUGGGGUGCUCGAGGGGCGAACGGGUGAGUAACACGUGAGUAACCUGCCCUUGACUUUGGGAGAACUUCAGGAAACUGGGGCUAAUACCGGAUAGGAGAUGCUGCUGCAUGGUGGGGGUUGGAAAGUUUCGGCGGUUGGGGAUGGACUAGCGGCUUAUCAGCUUGUUGGUGGGGUAGUGGCUUACCAAGGCUUUGACGGGUAGCCGGCCUGAGAGGGUGACCGGCCACAUUGGGACUGAGAUACGGCCCAGACUCCUACGGGAGGCAGCAGUGGGGAAUAUUGCACAAUGGGCGGAAGCCUGAUGCAGCAACGCUGCGUGCGGGAUGCCGGCCUUCGGGUUGUAAACCGCUUUCGCCUGUGACGAAGCGUGAGUGACGGUAAUGGGUAAAGAAGCACCGGCUAACUACGUG
rnacentral:rRNA from 1 species